rnacentral:rRNA from 1 species
UACGUAGGGUGCGAGCGUUAAUCGGAAUUACUGGGCGUAAAGCGUGCGCAGGCGGCUAUUUAAGCUUGCUGUGAAAGCCCCGGGCUUAACCUGGGAACUGCAGUGAGGACUGGAUGGCUAGAGUGUGGCAGAGGGGGGUGGAAUUCCACGUGUAGCAGUGAAAUGCGUAGAUAUCGGGAGGAACACCUGUGGCGAAAGCGGCGCACUGGACCACAACUGACGCUGAGGCGCGAAAGCCAGGGGAGCAAACGGG